rnacentral:rRNA from 1 species
GAUGAACGCUGGCGGCGUGCCUAAUACAUGCAAGUCGAGCGAACAGAUAAGGAGCUUGCUCCUUUGACGUUAGCGGCGGACGGGUGAGUAACACGUGGGUAACCUACCUAUAAGACUGGGAUAACUUCGGGAAACCGGAGCUAAUACCGGAUAACAUUUGGAACCGCAUGGUUCUAAAGUGAAAGAUGGUUUUGCUAUCACUUAUAGAUGGACCCGCGCCGUAUUAGCUAGUUGGUGAGGUAACGGCUUACCAAGGCAACGAUACGUAGCCGACCUGAGAGGGUGAUCGGCCACACUGGAACUGAGACACGGUCCAGACUCCUACGGGAGGCAGCAGUAGGGAAUCUUCCGCAAUGGGCGAAAGCCUGACGGAGCAACGCCGCGUGAGUGAUGAAGGGUUUCGGCUCGUAAAACUCUGUUAUUAGGGAAGAACAAAUGUGUAAGUAACUGUGCACGUCUUGACGGUACCUAAUCAGAAAGCCACGGCUAACUACGUG